AAAGUUAUAGUCAAAAAUGAUAUCUGAGUUGCAUUCAGAAGGUGCUUUCUGAAAGCUGACUUUA
rnacentral:tRNA from 1 species